rnacentral:lncRNA from 1 species
AUUACAAAGCUUCCGGUUUCCCUUCCCGCUGUGUGUGAAGUCCUCCGUGCCGUCUGACCCACUUUAACUUUCUCAUUUGUUUGUUUUCUGGCUUCCCCUCUGGAAGCAUUGCCCCAUGAGGGGAAUGUGUGUGUUAUGGCUGCUUUCUUACCUUUGCCUGUGGCACUGUGCCAUGCGCAAGCGAGCUCAAGCGUUAAACACAGAAAGAAUACGAGGAAGAACACACAGCAGAUCUGAAAGCACCUUGGAAACCAGUGGCUGCUUUUACCAGCACCUACAUCUUUUAACAGGCUAUGGCUGGUUGUCAUAGAAAGGCCUCAUCCCUGGAAGGUUUCUGCAGAACCUGAAACUGCCAGACCCCUGACCUAAGAAAAUGGAAGUCUUAGGUGAUCAUGGACCCUAAUGGGGGCACCAAGGGAUUAAGAGAUUAUGAAAAGAAAAGUUUAAGACUAGAAAAUCCCCAUGUGAGGGCUGACUGGCCUAUGAACCACCAAGACAACCUAAAGUAGGUAAACUGAAGCUGGCCUGGCUUGGCCUCCCCCUGGGACCUUAAUGGACUCGCAUCCUGGGAGUCUGGGUCCCAAGACCUAAUCCCUCUUUUGGCAUCGCUUGAUGUUGGACUCAAAGGAGACGCUCCUCUGCCCUGCAAUAAGAACUCAGUGUGGCCACAGGCUCACCAGCCUUGUCGUCUUCCUGGGCCAUGGAGAAGACUGCAUUUCCCAGCCUCAACUCCCAAGGCGAUGACGUGCUAUGGUUGGCUCCCACCAAAACUCAUCUCGAAGUGUGGUUGCCGAGGCAAUUGUGUUGGUCCAGCCUUUCCACUACCCCUAGAGUGACACUUCUUGCUUUGUCCCCUGCCUCCCACCAUGCCCAUGAGUUGAAGAUAAGGGUCUCAUAAAACAGAAGCAUCUUGGGAAGCUGAGGUCACAGGAUCAGAAGUUCAAGGACACUCUCUGCUACAUCUGCUGGUUUAGUUCCAGCUUGGACUACGUAAGACCCUGAGCCUUGUCCCCUGCACCACCACCCCCUGCCCAGGAAAAGAAGGAGAUUGGAUAUGGGAGUUGCUGUGCUCAGGCAAUUCAUUGACCUGGACUGUAUUUGUGCAAGCAAGAAAUAAACCUUUAUUACCACUGCA